AGCGAACGCUGGCGGCAGGCCUAACACAUGCAAGUCGAGCGCCGUAGCAAUACGGAGCGGCAGACGGGAGAGUAACACGUGGGAACGUACCCUUCAGUACGGAACAACCAAGGGAAACUUUGGCUAAUACCGUAUACGUCCGUAAGGAGAAAGAUUUAUCGCUGAAGGAUCGGCCCGCGUCUGAUUAGCUAGUUGGUGAGGUAACGGCCCACCAAGGUGACGAUCAGUAGCUGGUCUGAUAGGAUGAUCAGCCUCACUGGGACUGAGACACGGCCCACACGCCUACGGGUGGCAGCAGUGGGGAAUAUUGGACAAUGGGCGCAAGCCUGAUCCAGCCAUGCCGCGUGGGUGAUGAAGGCCAUAGGGUUGUAAAGCCCUUUCGGCGGGGAAGAUAAUGACGGUACCCGCAGAAGAAGCCCCGGCUAACUUCGUGCCAGCCGCCGCGGUAAAAC
rnacentral:rRNA from 1 species